rnacentral:rRNA from 1 species
AGUGAACGCUGGCGGUAGGCCUAACACAUGCAAGUCGAACGGCAGCACAGUAAGAGCUUGCUCUUACGGGUGGCGAGUGGCGGACGGGUGAGGAAUACAUCGGAAUCUACUUUUUCGUGGGGGAUAACGUAGGGAAACUUACGCUAAUACCGCAUACGACCUACGGGUGAAAGCAGGGGAUCUUUGGACCUUGCGCGAUUGAAUGAGCCGAUGUCGGAUUAGCUAGUUGGCGGGGUAAAGGCCCACCAAGGCGACGAUCCGUAGCUGGUCUGAGAGGAUGAUCAGCCACACUGGAACUGAGACACGGUCCAGACUCCUACGGGAGGCAGCAGUGGGGAAUAUUGGACAAUGGGCGCAAGCCUGAUCCAGCCAUACCGCGUGAGUGAAGAAGGCCUUCGGGUUGUAAAGCCCUUUUGUUGGGAAAGAAAAGCAGCAGGUUAAUACCCCGCUGUUCUGACGGUACCCAAAGAAUAAGCACCGGCUAACUUCGUG